rnacentral:misc_RNA from 1 species
AAUGAUGAUGAUGAUGAUGAUGACUGGGAGGUGGUGGACGAGGAAGAAGAAGAUGGUGGCGAGGUGGAGGAGAGUGCUGAAAGUUCUGAGUAAUAUAUGAACAUGGGGCGAAAAGGGUCUGUUCCAUUUUAGAGGAGGCUUUACCUUACAGGGAGCUUAGUAUAUUUCACUUUGAAUUGUAUUUUAUUGUAUGAUAAAACUAGGUGAUUUUGGUUGAUUUCAUGUCACUGACUGCAUUUGUCCAUUACCUUCGUUGGAAUAGUU